rnacentral:rRNA from 1 species
UCCUACGGGAGGCUGCAGCAGGGAAUAUUGUGCAAUGAACGAAAGUUUGACACAGCGACACCGCGUGUGGGAUGACGGAUCUAGGUUUGUAAACCACUUUCAGGAGGGAAGAAAAUGACGGUACCUCCACAAGAAGCCCCGGCCAACUACGUGCCAGCAGCCGCGGUAAUACGUAGGGGGCGAGCGUUGUCCGGAUUUAUUGGGCGUAAAGAGCUCGUAGGCGGUUCAACAAGUCGGUCGUGAAAGUUCAGGGCUCAACCCUGAAAUGUCGAUCGAUACUGUUGUGACUAGGAUACGGCAGAGGUGAGUGGAAUUCCGAGUGUAGCGGUGAAAUGCGUAGAUAUUCGGAGGAACACCAACUGCGAAGGCAGCUCACUGGGCCGCUAUCGACGCUGAGGAGCGAAAGCUAGGGGAGCAAACAGGAUUAGAUACCCUGGUAGUCCUAGCCGUAAACGAU